CCUACGGGAGGCAGCAGUGGGGAAUAUUGGACAAUGGGCGCAAGCCUGAUCCAGCAAUGCCGCGUGGAUGAUGAAGGCCUUAGGGUUGUAAAGUCCUUUCGGCGGGGAGGCGGUACCCGCAGAAGAAGCCCCGGCUAACUUCGUGCCAGCAGCCGCGGUAAUACGAAGGGGGCUAGCGUUGUUCGGAAUUACUGGGCGUAAAGGGCGCGUAGGCGGCCCUCCAAGUCAGAUGUGAAAGCCCCGGGCUUAACCUGGGAAUUGCAUUUGAGACUGAAGGGCUUGAGUUUCGGAGAGGUGGGUGGAAUUCCCAGUGUAGAGGUGAAAUUCGUAGAUAUUGGGAAGAACACCGGUGGCGAAGGCGGCCCACUGGCGACACUGACGCUGAGGCGCGAAAGCGUGGGGAGCAAACAGGAUUAGAUACCCUUGUAGUC
rnacentral:rRNA from 1 species